GGCCGCGGGAAUUCGAUUCAGGCCUAACACAUGCAAGUCGAACGGAAAGGCCCUGCUUACAAAAUACUCGAGUGGCGAACGGGUGAGUAACACGUGGGUGAUCUACCCUGCACUUCGGGAUAAGCCUGGGAAACUGGGUCUAAUACCGGAGAGGACCAUCGUUUAGUGGCGGUGGUGGAAAGGUUUUCGAUGCAGGAUGAGCCGGGGGCGAGUCAGCUUGUUGGUGGGGUAAUGGCCUACCAAGGCGGCGACGGGUAGCCGGCCUGAGAGGGUGGCCGGCCACAUUGGGGGGGAGACACGGCCCAAACUCCUACGGGAGGCAGCAGUGGGGAAUAUUGCAC
rnacentral:rRNA from 1 species